rnacentral:tRNA from 1 species
CAGGGAGACAACAAAAUGUUUAAUAUUAUUAUUUUGUCACCUUAGGUCGAUCGGUAUCUCACGUUCUUAAUUUAUUAAGAAUUUCAUUUCCUAAGUUUUUCUAGGUCACACCCAUUAUUUUUCCUGGGCCAUUAGCUCAGGUGGUUAGAGCGCACCCCUGAUAAGGGUGAGGUCCCUGGUUCAAGUCCAGGAUGGCCCAUAUCUCUAUGUUGGGGGUAUAGCUCAGUUGGUAGAGCGCCUGCUUUGCAAGCAGGAUGUCAGCGGUUCGAGUCCGCUUACCUCCACUGAUUACCACCUCUUCCAUAAUCUGUAGAAAGGAAAUGUUUUGAGUUGUGAUCAAAUUCUGAACGAAUCUAGCUUCCUAAUGAAAUCAUUAAGAUGCUGGACUCAUUGAAUUAAUUUCAUUGUUUUCAGAGAACCUUGACAACUGCAUAGAUUAUUUUUAAAGACAAUAAGCAUCUUUAAUGAUGCAGAUUUAUUAUUUGUGCGAAUGCAUUAAUAACAAUUCUAUUAAGCUGAUGCUUCAAUUUUGAAGUUAUU